rnacentral:rRNA from 1 species
AUGGAUGGAUGCAGGCGGGCACAUCAAUCCGGCGGUGACCUUCGGGCUGUUCCUGGCGAGAUCAUCGGCACCUUCUUCCUUGUCUACACCGUCUUCUCCGCCACCGACGCCAGGGACUCCCACGUUCCCAUCCUUGCCCCGCUGCCAAUCGGGUUCGUCGUGUUCCUGGUCCACCUAGCCACCAUCCCCAUCACCGGCAUCAACCUGGCGAGGAGCCUCGGCGCGGCCAUCAUCUACAACAGGGAGCACGCCUGGUUAGACCACGUGAGUGAACUAAAACCGAAACUAAAUCCUAACACCCGCCUUUUCCUUUGUCUGAACUUGAAAGCAUGGCACUUGUUUUUUGCAGUAGUAGUAACUGCAGGCAUGUGGUAA